GUUGGCUUGGAAGCAGCCAUUCAUUCAAAGAGUGCGUAACAGCUCACUAGUCGAGAGACCGGGCAUGGAUAAUAAUCGGGUAUUAAGUCAGAUACCGAAGGCACGGGGUAGCAGAGUAAUGAAAAGUACCGGUAGGGGAGCAUUCCACCUCCGUCGAAUGGUUUCCGUGAGGAUUCCUGGAGGGCGUGGAAAAGCAAAUGUAGGCAUAAGUAACGACUAGGGGCGUGAGAACCGCCCCCGCCGCAAGUCUAAGGUUUCCCGGGCGAUGCCAGUCAGCCCGGGGUCAGUCGGGUCCUAAGGCUCAGCCGAACGGCGAGGCCGAUGGCAGACACGGUUAAUAUUCCGUGACCCUCUGCUGGAGCGACGUGGAGACGGAGCAGUGACACCACCGCGCCCUGACGGAAUAGGGCGUUGAAGGCCGUAGGUGCUGACGGAGGCAGGCAAAUCCACCUCCAGAGCUGAAAGCCGACAGUACGCUUCCUCCUUCGGGAGGCGGCGACAGCGUGGGUAAGCAUACUUCCUAGAAAAUCCGCUAAGCAUAUCCAUCGGAGGCCCGUACCGCAAUCCGACACAGGUAGACGGGUAGAACAUACUGAGGCGUUGGGAGAUUCAUGGCUAAGGAACUAGGCAAACUGACCCCGUAACUUCGGGAUAAGGGGUCCUCACGGCAACGUGAGGCGCAGAGAAUAGGCCCAGGCAACUGUUUAACAAAAACACAGGGCUGUGCAAACUCGAAAGAUGAUGUAUACAGCCUGACACCUGCCCGGUGCCGGAAGGUUAAGAGGAGGAGUCAGCCCCUUGUGGGUGAAGCCCCGAGUUGAAGCCCCGGUAAACGGCGGCCGUAACUAUAACGGUCCUAAGGUAGCGAAAUUCCUUGUCGGGUAAGUUCCGACCUGCACGAAUGGUGUAAUGAUCCGGACGCUGUCUCAACCAUGAGCUCAGUGAAAUUGUAGUAUCGGUGAAGAUGCCGAUUACCCGCGAUGGGACGAAAAGACCCCGUGAACCUUUACUACAGCUUAGCGCUGACCUUGGUCAUCCGAUGUGUAGGAUAGGCCGGAGGCUUCGAAGCGGGGACGCCAGUCUUCGUGGAGCCGCCCUUGAAAUACGGCCCUUUGGCUGUCCGAGGUCUAACGCGCGUUUUGCGCGGACACCGCUUGGCGGGUAGUUUGACUGGGGUGGUCGCCUCCAAAAGUGUAACGGAGGCUUCCAAAGGUGCCCUCAGGCCGAUUGGUAACCGGCCUCUAGAGUGCAAUGGCAUAAGGGCGCUUGACUGGGAGGGAGACAUCCCGAGCAGGCAGGAAACUGGGGCAUAGUGAUCCGGCGGACGCGUAUGGAAGCUCCGUCGCUCAAAGGAUAAAAGGUACUCCGGGGAUAACAGGCUGAUCCCCCCCA
rnacentral:rRNA from 1 species